UUUGUUCUCUCCAUUCCCUCUUUGACCAAGGUCAUACAUAAGCACGAUAACAGGCUCUUGGAAAACUAGAUCAGUUUUCCAAGAGCCUGUUAUCGUGCUUAUGUACUAACACCAUCCUAGACCCUAUGGUCAAUAGAAA
ensembl:miRNA